CCUACGGGUGGCAGCAGUGGGGAAUAUUGGACAAUGGGGGGAACCCUGAUCCAGCCAUGUCGCGUGUGUGAAGAAGGCCCUCGGGUUGUAAAGCACUUUCAGUGAGGAAGAACGCCUGGUGGUUAAUACCCUUCAGCAUUGACAUCACUCACAGAAGAAGCACCGGCUAACUCCGUGCCAGCAGCCGCGGUAAUACGGAGGGUGCGAGCGUUAAUCGGAAUUACUGGGCGUAAAGCGCGCGUAGGUGGCUUGAUAAGCCGGUUGUGAAAGCCCCGGGCUCAACCUGGGAACGGCAUCCGGAACUGUCAAGCUAGAGUGCAGGCGAGGAAGGUAGAAUUGCCGGUGUAGCGGUGAAAUGCGUAGAGAUCGGGAGGAAUACCAGUGGCGAAGGCGGCCUUCUGGGCUGACACUGACGCUGAGGUGCGAAAGCGUGGGUAGCAAACAGGAUUAGAUACCCUGGUAGUC
rnacentral:rRNA from 1 species